rnacentral:sRNA from 1 species
UACGAAUCAUUGUUGGAUCAUCGUGUCCAAGU